CAUGCCUCUUCCCUACACAAAAACACUCCUGAACCCAUGGACAUUGCCUUCAUCAAAGGACCUUUAUCUCCUCAAGAGAAGCUCAGACGUCGUUCCAAUAAUCUAUGCCUGUACUGUGCCUCUGACGAACACACUGUGAAAGACUGCCCUUCCCUCCUAAAACAAAACAAGGUGGGAACAACUUCGUCUUCACGCCACAGCGAUAAUUGAUUCUGGUGCCACGGCUUCCUAUAUAGAUAAGGAAUUUUGCACUGUAAAUAAAAUACCACUGAUGCAGAAA